UACGUAGGGUGCGAGCGUUGUCCGGAAUUAUUGGGCGUAAAGAGCUCGUAGGCGGUUUGUCGCGUCGACUGUGAAAACCCGAGGCUUAACCUCGGGCCUGCAGUCGAUACGGGCAGACUAGAGUUCGGUAGGGGAGACUGGAAUUCCUGGUGUAGCGGUGAAAUGCGCAGAUAUCAGGAGGAACACCGGUGGCGAAGGCGGAUCUCUGGGCCUGUCCUGACGCUCAGGCGCGAAAGCUAGGGGAGCAAACAGG
rnacentral:rRNA from 1 species